AUACUUACCUGGCAGGGGAGACACCAUGAUCAAGAAGGUGGUUCACACAGUGUGAGGCCCGGCCAUUGCACUCUGGCUGUCUGACCUCUGCGAAUUCUCCAAAUGUGUGAAUCUCGACUGCAUAGUUUGUGCUAGUGGGGGACUGCGUUUGCGCUCUCCCCUU
ensembl:snRNA U1 U1 spliceosomal RNA